UAGGGAGCGAAGCAAUUGGAAGUGGUUCCAAGAAAAGCCUCUAAGCUUCAGUCUAACGAUGACCGUACCGCAAACCGACACAGGUGGGCGAGAUGAGUAUUCUAAGGCGCUUGAGAGAACUCGGGAGAAGGAACUCGGCAAAUUGGUACCGUAACUUCGGGAUAAGGUACGCCCUUGUAGCUUGAUGCGCCUGCGCGCAGAGGGUGAAGGGGUUGCAAUAAACUGGUGGCUGCGACUGUUUAAUAAAAACACAGCACUCUGCAAACACGAAAGUGGACGUAUAGGGUGUGACGCCUGCCCGGUGCCGGAAGAUUAAAUGAUGGGGUGCAAGCUCUUGAUUGAAGUCCCGGUAAACGGCGGCCGUAACUAUAACGGUCCUAAGGUAGCGAAAUUCCUUGUCGGGUAAGUUCCGACCUGCACGAAUGGCGUAACGAUGGCCACACUGUCUCCUCCCGAGACUCAGCGAAGUUGAAGUGUUUGUGAUGAUGCAAUCUACCCGCGGCUAGACGGAAAGACCCCAUGAACCUUUACUGUAGCUUUGCAUUGGACUUUGAACCGAUCUGUGUAGGAUAGGUGGGAGGCUAUGAAACCGGAACGCUAGUUUCGGUGGAGCCGUCCUUGAAAUACCACCCUGGUUUGUUUGAGGUUCUAACCUUGGCCCGUGAUCCGGGUCGGGGACAGUGCAUGGUAGGCAGUUUGACUGGGGCGGUCUCCUCCCAAAGCGUAACGGAGGAGUACGAAGGUACGCUAGGUACGGUCGGAAAUCGUGCUGAUAGUGCAAUGGCAUAAGCGUGCUUAACUGCGAGACCGACAAGUCGAGCAGGUGCGAAAGCAGGUCAUAGUGAUCCGGUGGUUCUGUAUGGAAGGGCCAUCGCUCAACGGAUAAAAGGUACUCUGGGGAUAACAGGCUGAUACCGCCCAAGAGUUCAUAUCGACGGCGGUGUUUGGCACCUCGAUGUCGGCUCAUCUCAUCCUGGGGCUGUAGCCGGUCCCAAGGGUAUGGCUGUUCGCCAUUUAAAGAGGUACGUGAGCUGGGUUUAAAACGUCGUGAGACAGUUUGGUCCCUAUCUGCCGUGGGCGUUGGAUAUUUGAAGGGGGCUGCUCCUAGUACGAGAGGACCGGAGUGGACGAACCUCUGGUGUACCGGUUGUCACGCCAGUGGCAUCGCCGGGUAGCUAUGUUCGGAAGAGAUAACCGCUGAAAGCAUCUAAGCGGGAAACUCGCCUUAAGAUGAGAUAUCCCUGGGGACU
rnacentral:rRNA from 1 species